ACUCAAAUGAAUAGACGGGGGCCCGCACAAGCGGAGGAACAUGUGGUUUAAUUCGAUGAUACGCGAGGAACCUUACCCGGGCUUGAAAUGGAGCGGAAUAAGAGUGAAAGCUUUUAGCCAGCAAUGGCCGCUUUGUAGGUGCUGCAUGGUUGUCGUCAGCUCGUGCCGUGAGGUGUCGGCUUAAGUGCCAUAACGAGCGCAACCCUUUCCGAUAGUUACUAACAGGUCAAGCUGAGGACUUUAUUGGGACUGCCACCGUAAGGUGUGAGGAAGGUGGGGAUGACGUCAAAUCAGCACGGCCCUUACGUCCGGGGCGACACACGUGUUACAAUGGGGGGUACAGCGGGUUGCUACCAGGCGACUGGAUGCUAAUCUCGUAAAACCCCUCUCAGUUCGGAUCGGAGUCUGCAACCCGACUCCGUGAAGCUGGAUUCGCUAGUAAUCGCGCAUCAGCCAUGGCGCGGUGAAUACGUUCCCGGGCCUUGUACACACCGCCCGU
rnacentral:rRNA from 1 species